CGCGAAUCGCAUUCGUCUCGAACAUUCCGAUUCUGUCAAAUUGUUUUUCUCCUCGAGGCUUAAUGAACAGUCAGUUUUAACAAUGAAGAGGAAGAGGACCUUAAAAGAUUUCUUUUUUGGUAAGUGUGGUCGUCUUGCUU